CAAAUACUCCCUCCGUCCGGAUAUACUUGUCAUAAAAAUGGAUAAAAGGAAAUGUAUCUAGACGUAUUUUAGUUUUAGAUACAUCUCUUUUUAUCCAUUUUGAUGACAAGUAUUUUCGGACAGAGGGAGUAGAAA
rfam:Triticum aestivum genome assembly, contig: Triticum_aestivum_CS42_TGACv1_scaffold_289647_4AL